rnacentral:rRNA from 1 species
GCUAUGCCCGAUCUCGUCUGAUCUCGGAAGCUAAGCAGGUUUGGGCCUGGUUAGUACUUGGAUGGGAGACCGCCUGGGAAUACCAGGUGCUGUAAACUU